UUAAAUUUGGGAAAGCUUUGAACAAAAUAUGGGAACCGCCAUAACAUGAAAACGGUAAACCACUUGUAAGUGGUAAUUCAGGUACUUCGCUGAACUUUAUCUCGUGGGAACAUGUGAUCAUGAUGGGGGAGCAUUAUGCUUUAUCACUAGGCAAAAUUGUGAUCUUAGGGUAUUUUAGGGGAACAUGUAAACAUGAUAGGGAUUUGGGAAAUAUUAUACUUCUUUACUUGGGCAAAACCGUGACUUAUAUUAUCUAUGCUGGGAUUUAUGUAAUAAUAAUUAUGUCUUGGAAGCUGCACAACUUCUGCAUAUGUGCUUAGACUUGAAAUAUGACAUUAUUAAUAAACGAAGCUACACACCUUCU
rnacentral:lncRNA from 1 species